GCGGCGGCGUACGCGGCGUUCGCCGCCCGCGGCCGCUACUGCCGGCCGAUGGCCGUCACCGCCGUCGUGGAGCGCGACGGCACCCGCACC
rnacentral:tRNA from 1 species